GAGAAACAAGAAGAAAAUAAAGAGAAUACAUUUUAAUUGUGUCACCUUGGAUCAGUUAUAUAUUACCAAUGCUUUUAUUUUUUUAAUAAGAGGAGAAUAACUCAGUGCAGGGAAGGAGUCUUAAGGAAAGUUUCUAGACCUUUUGGGCAUACACAAAUAAUGUAAGGAUGCCUCAGGUUUUAAGAGGUGACUUCAUCAUUUGCAGCAGGAUAGCCUACGCCCAAGAACACGAGUAUCUACAGCAUGUCUCAUUUUCCCUCAGGAACAUUUCACAUUUCUCUCUAGCCCUAUAAAGUGAAAACUGACAAGGAUCUCUUGGACAUUUGGGGAAAGGAGAAAUACAGAACUGUGUCUGUAGUAAGUACUACCUUCUUUAGCCAUCCCAUGAUUUGUUGCUCAGAUUCAUGAACAAGCCCUAUCGGUUCAGAAAAAGGGGGUUCAACAUGAGCUGCUCUAUUUGUCAGAAGCCAGAUUUGCUAAGCCCAGAAUUGGAACUUGCAAUGAAGGGGACUGUCAUGCUGCAUAGCUAUCAACAAGCUCAUUUUUGUACUGGAAGUUCAUCCAACUUCCUUCAAAAUUCCGUGAAUGAAGCAAGAUGAUAAACCUUCCGUUCGUAUAGUCCCAUGGCAAAUGCUAAUUUUCAAAUGUCCAAAAAUGUAACCGUUCUAUAAAUGCUAUUUUCAUUUUCAAUUUUUUUUUGUAAGUCAAAUACUAGGUUCAUAAAUAUUAAGAAAGCACAGGCUUGGUGAGGAUUAUUGUUGUGAUAAUGUGGAUACUUGUAAACCAUUCAUCAUAGACUGCUACUGAAAAGGCUAUUGCUUGUACAUAACAUCUACUUCUUAAAUCUCAGGCAAAGGGUUUGCAUAAAAUGUAAAUGCUGUACUUUUUAAGCCGAAAAAGUCUUAUUGCUGCACAAACUUUUUUCUCUUUUAAGUUAAGGACAGUUAAAGCAAUAUUUCUGAACUAAUAACCAUUUAUAGUUAUGCAGAUGCUCUGUAGGUAAUGAGAUUAAAACCUAAAAUGGAUCAUCUGAAGCUCCAGGAAGCCUUCAGAUCUCUCUUCUGCAUUUUCUUGGACAUGUAAAGCAUAUUUCAGAUUUAAUUUACCGAUUUCCCCUCUAUGUUUGCUGUUAAUUUGCUGCUGAAUUACCUCAAUGAUCUGAAAACCUUCAGGACUGCAAAAACUAUAGUUAGGGGAUCAUCCAUAGUUUGUAGUUUAAACCCCAUCUACCAUCACUCCAAAAUGUUUAUUUUUGUUAAUAUAAUAACAAUUAUUAUGUAAAUCAAUGGCUUUAUGUUUUACCUGAGAAAUCCUAAAAUUGCCUGGAAUAGUUCUUUGCUGUAGAACUGUUUAAUCUGAUGGAUUAUUAUCUAAUUCUUAUCUCUUUUACGAGGAUAUCCUUGCAAAAUGCAGGUCAAAGCUGAGAGUUGACUUUCAAACCGAGAGUUUUGAAGGUUACCAUCUGGAAAGCAAAUUCAUCCAUUCUUCCUUCAAAAUUCCGUGAAUGAAGCAAGAUGAUAAAACUUUCAUUCAUACAGUCCCAUGGCAGACGCCAAUUUUCAAACCUCCUGGUAGCUUCCUGAUUUUGACUCGCCUUUUAUCAUUUGUUGAAGAAGAACUGUACCCACAACAUCUAAUAGGUUUGCAGGCAGAAAAUGUCUGACUGUGACAGGAUCAGAAAUAUGAAUAAGGAGACUAAUUCCUUGUGCGUCCAAUAAUACUUGGCCAAUAUAGAAUUCUAUUCUAUGAAAUAUAGAAGAAUAUACUGCAGAGACUGCAGAUAGGCUAAUGAGAACUAGAAGCUGAGAAGAAAUGGAAAACAAUCAAGGGGUCAAAGCAGCUUUCCUUGUUGUCCCCUCACCCCACCUUCUCUCUCUGCAGAAGUAAAGAAAAAAGGAUUCGGUUUAUUGAUUUAAUUUCCCAUAGAGACAAUUCCCGUAGACACUUAUGGAGAUGGUCUUGAGUGGAAUAUUCAGCAGCCAUCUCUCACACCCAGGAAAAAGGACAGAAGCAAUUCUUAAAGUAUGGCAAAAAAGGUAAUAUUUGGAAGAUAUUCAGGUUGGCUCCUCCUUGACUCACUAAGUGGGAGGAGAGGAAAAACACAAUCAGAUUUGCAAAAUUCUGUUAUUGUAGUUUAUCCCUAUAAAGCUGACUUCUAAUUUUCUUGUGGAAUCUGUUUCCUGAUCUAGUCAAUCCCAAAAGGCUAGAAUUUUCUCCAGUGUGAUUUAUUUCUUAAUAUAAAUGAAAAUAAUAAUAAUAAUAAUCCAAGAUCAGUUCUAUGCCAGGCACAUUUAGGAAAUGUGUCACAAAAGAGAAUUGGGUAUAGGCUUAAAAAACAACAACAUUGAAUAUUUAUAUGUCAAAAUACAAAACUGGACUGUAUAGUUUUUAAGAAAACUUACUACUGCUUUUGAAAAUAAUAGAAAUUUUAAAACUAUACAGCAGUCAGCUACUUCGUAGUCCAAAGGAUCUUUUUGAUUUACCAGUUCUUUCCAUACAUUGUUGCUGCAUUUUUCACAAGGUGCUGCUGGUUCCCCAAACCAGAUAACCAUUAGCAGAAAUAGGUCUUUCUGCCAGAAAAUAUUGGGCGAGCCAGAUUGCUGAUGUUUGGGAGAUUAUAACUGAUCUACUUUUAGUGUCCUACUUCUUUAGUAAAUAAAAUUUACUAAAUGUGGUUAUUUUCACAAAUAAUAUCUGCAGCAAUAUCCAGGUCUUUCUACUAGUUGGAUCGGGUCAUUGCUAAAGUUACUCAAAAUCACAAUCCAGAUGAAAUAGGUUAACUGAAGGCUUCGUGAACCUACCGUGUUUCCCUGAAAAUAAGACCCUGUCUUAUAUUUUUUGAACCCCGAAAUAAGUGCUUGGUCUUAUUUUGGGGGGAGGUCUUAUUAUUUUGGGGCGUGUGGAGCAAGACGGGGCUCCUCUUGCCGUCUUACCUGAUUUCCACCUCUGUCUCCCUAACCCUAACCUGAGGAAAUGGUGGGGACCAGCUGCGCAUGCACUUAAAUAUUUUUGGGGAGGGCUUAUUUUAGCGCAUGCACUCAAAAGCCCGUUUGGGCUUAUUAUCCAGGGAGGUCUUAUUUUCGGGGAAACAGGGUAUUGGGCAAUGCAUAGGAUUUCACUAUGGCUAGAAGGCACCCAGAUGAAAAAGCUGACCUAUUAAAAACUGGUCUGGUCUGAAAAGCUUUUCUGGGUUAACAGAUUGAACACCAUUUAAACUUAAUUUGAAGAGUAACAUUCCCUACCCAUAUACCCUGCAGAGGACAAUAACUAAAAUUUGACAAUAAUGCCUGUUGCCCCCAGUCUGGUUUGACUGGGAAUUAAUAGUAAUUGUAAUUCAAGAUGUCCAAAAGCCCCAGGCUGGGGAAAGAAACACAUGGCACUUUUAUUGAGGGCACUAACUCCCCGCAAGUGUUUGUCCAUCCUUCUUGGCUAACCUUCUAUCGUGCUGCAGAAGAUGAAAUGAAGAAAAAAAAAAGGAGCAGAAACUUACCAGCCUCUCUUAUCCCAAAGAAGCACCAUGCUGGACAGGAAAGCAAAGCUGCUGGUAAAGGAGUGAGAGGAGGAAGAGGAGGAGGAGGAAAGUGGAGAGGAGGCAAAUGACAAGAAGAGGUGAAGGUAUUCACCAUCCCAAGGCAACAUGUAAACACACAGGGUUUCAGCAAGCAAAAAUUAUGGGGAAAUUAGCAGAAGAGCAUGCACUGAAGAGCAGGGUUGGCAGGUGCCAAGGGAUAACUGUUCCAAGAGAUCCCCACCCUUAUGAAGGCUGGUGUUUGGGAAAAGGGAAACUGGAAAAAUGUUUGGAUGCCUUGAUUAAUCUUCUGCUCCUUUGGCUUAUAUAUACAGGAGCUAUUACAAAUUGUCUAGUCCAAAUUUAAGUAUAGCUUAUAGACUGAUUUGUUGUUAUAAGAAGACAAUCUGUCUUGGUUUGGGUUUUAUGUUUUGUUUUUUGUUUUAAAGAAAAUAAAAAAGCAGGCCUCAAAUGGAAAACUCUGCCCCCUCUUGCUGUACCUUCUUGGAUUUCAGCAAGGGAUUUUGGCCCAAUAGCUUUUUAAUGUCAGAUGUUGUUCUUUUCGUUUAGGUGAAUUGAAUUUCAGAUUGUGGUAUCCAAUUUGCUGCAAGCUUUUCUCAUCGCUGAAGUUUAGAUGAAAGGCAAGGACAAGUAGAAGAGCACCUCUAUUUACUUUAUCGUCACUCCAUUCCUCAUCUGAUAAAUGAAUGCCUACUGGAGUAAAGGCAAGCUUGGAGAGCAGCAAAAAGAAAGAGCAAUAUCCUCACUUUUUCUGAAAGACCUGUAACGCAAGCGAAGAGCUUUUUCUAUCAAGAACUGGGUAACAGGAGGCACAUAUGCGUUGACAACUUGACAUUCCUAGUUAAACAGGAGGAACAUUGGUAUAGGCAACUUCUCAUGCUGCAGUACUGAAGGGUUGACAAAAGCAUUGCCUGAAAUUCUACACAGCUGUUCAGCAGAAAGGAAAACUCAUCCAUUGGAUUUGAUCCUUCCUAGUAGAGGUAUGCACAACUCAUUCCCCAGAUUUACAAGUAAUCUAUCCCCAAAUAAUACUAAGACCCCAAUUCCUCCCCAGUUUUGACAAAUACUGUAAUUUUUAAUUUAAUAUAUAUAUAAUUUAAUUAUAUAUAUUAUCAUACUAUGGUUCUGUUUAAUUAACUGUAUUUAAUUUCAAUUAACUUUCAAUUAAACCAAAUUCAGUUUUGCAUUUCAUGGACCCAAUUUUUUUUACCAUGCCCCUUUCCCUCCACAUUGUGUUACUCAAAAAAUGUGCAGCUUUCUGAUCAAAAGAAAGGAUCCACACAAUGGGAUCAAAUUAUUUGUACUGAAAGCAACCAGAUGAACUUGAAUUUAGUGGCUCAUCUAAGCCUCCACCAAAUGGUCUGAUAAAAACUUAGCUCCUUAAAUGUUCUAUGGGAAUUUUGUUUGCAACGGUCACAUUAGGUUUGAUUACCUAUUAUAAUUAUGAGUUUAUAUGUUCUUUCAACUUUUCCCCCUUAUCAGAAUAUUCUAUUCAAAAACAUUCAAUUUUUGUAGAUUUAGUAGCAUUUUCAGCUGAACUCUGAUAGAUGAAAGAGCAAUAUUUUUACUUUUGUGUAUCCUAAUAGUUUAGAAAUUUUACUGCUGAAUAAAUACUAAUAAUGCAACAAUGGAACUAUUGUGAAGAAUGUAUUUUUAAAGUAAAAGUCGGGUUUUAUGGGGCUGAUUAAAUUUGCAACAACAUGAACCUCAUCUAGUCAGAUCAUUAAUGGCUCAGCCUUUGGAACUCUAUUUAGAAACACAUUUUUCUUAAGCUCACAGUAAACAUAAUGGAGCAAAAUUUGUAAGCAAAUUUUAACAAAACAUUUGUAACAAUAUAAGCCAGAAUUGCAAGAUCUUUAGCAAAAGGGAAUACAGCAUUGAUCUAUUUUUCUAAACCAGGAAAACAAUGUUCUAAGCACACUCUAUCAGUAUAUACUUAUUCCCAGCUGCAUCUGUGCUGCAAUGGUUCUUCCAUACUAUUCCUAAACAAUUUCUGAGAUAGCAAGUAAUUUAUUGAAUUUAUUUCUGAAUAGCCAAAUGUCUGGGAGUCAGGAAACCAUUACAAUUUUCUUAAUGCUAAACUGAAAUAUUUGACCUUGGAUAUUUUUUGGCAUUUAUGGCAAAUAAAAACAGUUUUUGUAAAAUGUUAGAAUUGGAAGAAAUUUUUUAUGGGGGAUAUGAAGACUUGUUCUGUCAUCACUUUAAAGUGCUUGGUAAUCAUAAUAAGGACCAAGGUAUGGAAGAUUUAUGUGGAGUCUUGUUUAAACUGAGCCUACUUGGUGGUUUUGGCACCAGAACAUCCACUGUAAAUCUUGCUACUUUGACAAAUGUUCUGUGAAAUGAGAAGCAGCCAACAGAUCCAUUUCCAAGGAAGUGGGCAAGACUGAGUCAUCACCCAAGAAUUUAAUCUUUGAUCCUAAGACGACUAUACUGGUUCAACUGGGAAAGCUAAAUAUAUCCAAGACCAGCUAUACUUGAUGGGACACGGCAGCUUAGAGGAAAUGAGAGGGGUCAGAAUCUUGAGUUAUUCAGUUGAA